rnacentral:rRNA from 1 species
GACGUAGGAGGCGAGCGUUGUCCGGAUUCAUUGGGCGUAAAGAGCGCGCAGGCGGCUUGGUAAGUCGGAUGUGAAAUCCCGAGGCUCAACCUCGGGUCUGCAUCCGAUACUGCCCGGCUAGAGGUAGGUAGGGGAGAUCGGAAUUCCUGGUGUAGCGGUGAAAUGCGCAGAUAUCAGGAGGAACACCGGUGGCGAAGGCGGAUCUCUGGGCCGGUACUGACGCUGAGGCGCGAAAGCGUGGGGAGCGAACGGG